rnacentral:rRNA from 1 species
UACGCAGGGGGCUAGCGUUGUUCGGAAUUACUGGGCGUAAAGCGCACGUAGGCGGAUUGUUAAGUCAGGGGUGAAAUCCCGAGGCUCAACCUCGGAACUGCCUUUGAUACUGGCAAUCUUGAGUCCGGGAGAGGUGAGUGGAAUUCCUAGUGUAGAGGUGAAAUUCGUAGAUAUUAGGAAGAACACCAGUGGCGAAGGCGGCUCACUGGCCCGGUACUGACGCUCAGGUGCGAAAGCGUGGGGAGCAAACAGG